AAGAUGGCGCAAGCGGCGCUCCCCCUGCGCCCCCGGCGCUCCUAGGCAGGCAUGUGGCCCCAGCCUGCCGCCGCCCGGGCUCGGCCCCGGCCGGAGCUCCGGCCCCGGCCCCGGCGCCGACCCCGCGGGACGCUGUGAGCCGCCAGAGGCCCCGGAGCCGCGCUUCGCCGAGCCGAGCGGACCGAGAGCCCCAUGGCUGCUCCGCGCGCCGCGCCGCGCCGGCUCCUGCUGCCGCUGCUGCUGCCGCUGCUGCUGCCCGCGCCGAGCGACGGUCUCGGCCACUCUGCCGAACUGGCCUUUGCUGUGGAGCCAAGUGAUGAUGUUGCAGUUCCUGGGCAGCCUGUAGUGCUGGGCUGCAGGGUGGAGGGGACCCCUCCAGUGAGAAUCACCUGGAGGAAGAAUGGAGUGGAGCUGCUGGAGAGUACCCACGCCACCUUGCUGGCCAACGGGUCCCUGAUGCUCCCUCACUUCCAGCUGGAUCGGGGAGGAAGCCCCUCAGAUGAGGGUGACUAUGAGUGUGUGGCUCAGAACCGCUUUGGACUCGUGGUCAGCCGGAAGGCUCGAAUCCAGGCUGCAACCAUGUCGGACUUCCACGUGCAUCCCCAGGCCACUGUGGGAGAGGAGGGCGGUGUGGCCCGCUUCCAGUGCCAAAUCCAUGGGCUUCCCAAACCCCUGAUCACGUGGGAGAAGAACAGAGUCCCCAUUGACACGGACAACGAGAGGUACACAUUGCUGCCCAAGGGGGUCCUGCAGAUCACAGGACUUCGGGCUGAGGACAGCGGUGUCUUCCACUGUGUGGCCUCGAAUAUUGCCAGUGUCCGGGUCAGCCACGGGGCCAGGCUCACCGUGUCAGGCUCGGGCUCUGGGGCCUACAAGGAGCCAAUGAUUCUCGUGGGGCCUGAGAACCUCACCCUGACAGUGCACCAGACCGCUGUGCUUGAGUGUGUCGCCACGGGCAACCCGCGCCCCAUUGUGUCCUGGAGCCGCCUGGAUGGCCGACCCAUUGGGGUGGAGGGCAUCCAGGUGCUGGGCACUGGAAAUCUUAUCAUCUCUGACGUGACGGUCCAGCACUCCGGCGUCUAUGUCUGCGCGGCCAACAGGCCGGGCACCCGGGUGAGGAGAACAGCGCAGGGCCGGCUGGUGGUACAAGCCCCAGCCGAGUUUGUCCAGCACCCCCAGUCCAUCUCCAGGCCAGCUGGGACCACAGCCAUGUUCACCUGCCAAGCCCAGGGUGAGCCGCCCCCUCAUGUCACGUGGUUGAAGAACGGACAGGUGCUGGGGCCAGGAGGCCACGUGAGGCUCAAGAACAACAACAGCACUCUGACAAUUUCUGGAAUUGGCCCUGAGGACGAGGCCAUCUACCAGUGUGUGGCCGAGAACAGUGCUGGCUCCUCCCAGGCCAGUGCCAGGCUGACCGUGCUGUGGGCUGAGGGGCUGCCUGGGCCCCCCCUCAAUGUACAGGCGGUCUCCGUGUCAUCCACUGAGGUCCGCGUGUCCUGGAAUGAACCCCUGGUCAACACCAAGGAGAUUAUUGGCUAUGUCCUGCACAUCAGGAAGGCUGCUGACCCUCAGGAGCUGGAGUACCAGGAGGCAGUCAGCAAGAGCACCUUUCAGCACCUGGUGAGCGACCUUGAGCCCUCCACUGCCUACAGCUUCUACAUCAAGGCCUACACGCCGAGGGGGGCCAGCUCCGCCUCUGCCGCUGUGCUGACCAGCACCCUGGGCGAAGCCCCCGCCCCUCCCCCACUGUCGGUGCGGGUCGUGGGCAGCUCGUCCCUGCAGCUGCUGUGGGAGCCGUGGCCCCGGCUGGCCCAGCACGAGGGCGGCUUCAAGCUGUUCUACCGCUCAGCGAGCAGAGCCUCCUUCACCGGCCCCAUCCUGCUGCCUGCAACCGCCUCCUCCUACAACCUCAGCCAGCUUGACCCCACUACAGUAUAUGAGGUGAAGCUGCUUGCCUACAACCAGCACGGGGAGGGCAAUGCCACAGUCCGCUUCGUGUCCUUGAGGGGAGCCUCUGAGAGGACAGCCCUGAGCCCACCGUGUGACUGCCGGAAGGAGGAGCCCAGCAACCAGACGUCUACCACAGGCAUCGUCAUCGGCAUCCACAUCGGGGUCACCUGCAUCAUCUUCUGUGUCCUCUUCCUCCUGUUCGGCCAAAGGGGCAGGGUCCUCUUGUGUAAGGAUGUAGAAAACCAGCUCUCCCCUCCUCAGGGCCCCCGGAGCCCAAGGGAUCCUAGCAUCCUGGCACUGAAUGGGGCGGGCCAGGGAGAGCAGGGCCAGCUGGGCCGAGAUAAGAAGCAUGUGGACUUGAAAGAACUGGAACAGCUGUUCCCCCCAACUGGGGCAGCGGGGCGGCCAGACUCCAGACCUGUCCCCAGACACAUGCAGGAUCCUGGGGACCCUGCCCUAUGUGAGGAGACCCAGUUCUCUGUGCUGCCACUCGAGGGAUUCAGCCUUCUGGAGGAGAUGGUGUCAGAAGCCAAGGACCCCAGCGCAGGCCCUGCAGCCUCCCUGCCACCCCAGGAUGUAGGCCAUGGCCGCCUCGGUGAAGGACAGGCUACCCGGCCUCCCAUGGCACCAGCUGCCCAGCCAGCUCGCUCGGGACAGUAGCCAGUGUCUGGCAGGCUCUGGAGGGGGCAACCCCCCCAUUCUCAGGUCAAAGGUGUGAAAGAAAACCUCUACCUCAAGGCUCGCCAGCUCUCCGGGCCUGUGUUGUAUCACUGGACCCUCCUCCUGGCUCCUCUUCCUGCCCGAGACCUUCUACCCUUCCCCAAGAGAGGAGGCCAGAGGCUAAGUCACCAAUGGUGGGCCUCUCAGGACCUACAGAAAUAAAGAUGGAAUUAGUCAAAGAUAAUGUGAAAAAAAAAAAAAAGCCAAAAAUGAGAGGAAAUGUGUUCCUUGACGUCUGUCGCUCCACACACCGUCCAGCAGGCUGCUGCCACCGCUCCGCCCUGUCUCAUCUGUCCACUCCGGUUUCGAUCCUCUUGGCCAACUGAUCCUUGACUGGGAUCCCCACAGCUGGCUCCCUGCCUGGGCCUUCCUAGGGUGGGGUGUUGCCCUGAAGCCUGCCUCCUAUCCCGUCCGGCCCCAGAGCCCCUGGAGCAGGCUGUCCUCUGGAAUGUUCUGUGUGUGUGACCACUGUGUGUGGGUGUUGGGUCGGGAGGUUCCCUGGCAGACGUGGCCUGGCCCUCUAGCCCAUGGGACGUAGCCGGCCUGACCCAAGCCCUGGACAGUGGAAUGACCACUGUCAGCAGAUGUGGCUGGAAGAUAUUUUUAUACAAGGUGUGUUUAAAGAUUUAUGUUCUUGUGACUUCUUGUUUCUCUUUUCUGUUGUGGUGUUUUUUGAAAUACUUAAAGUAGGAAGGGAAAAAAAAAGACCUAUUUUUGGUUAACUCAUUUUUUUAAAUAGAAGGAAAACUUUUUUUAAAGGAGAAAAAAAAUAAGUGUAUUCCUUAAGUCUGAGAUUAGACCAUAAAGUCCCUGAUCCCUAACCCUCUAGGGAACCCUCCUCCCCCAAGUUUUAGUUAAUUAGAUGAAGAAGGUAGAAUUUGUGGUGUUUUCCUAGAAGACUGGAGUCAUGUCCAUGUGGACUCAGGGCAGUCUGCCCCUUCUCCCAAAUGCUGGGCCUGUGCCAAAGGCCCUCAAAACUCCCACACAGUACCCCCUCUGUCCCUGCAUUGGCCUCUCGGCACCCCCAACAUCCUGGAAACCCCCUCUCCCAUGGGAAGAGUGGUCUGGGGUUGGAACCGCCUGGCCUGACUUGAAAUGACUUUUGUCACACUCUACUCAUUUUGACUGAAUAAAAGUCCUGUUGCCAAAGUGAACCUUGAUUUUUGAUGGCUGUGUCAGGUCCUGGGGAAGGGUGGGAGUGCUGGGAUUAGGGUGGCCAAUGGUGGGGCAGGCUGACCCUCUCAGGGUCAGAGCCCAGAGUAACAGCCAC